UUAGGGUACUGCGGCAGACAUUACCGAGUGUAGGGUUCCUAGCGAGCCCAACCUCCCACCCGUGUUUACUGUACCUUAGUUGCUUCGGCGGGCCCGCCAUUCAUGGCCGCCGGGGGCUCUCAGCCCCGGGCCCGCGCCCGCCGGAGACACCACGAACUCUGUCUGAUCUAGUGAAGUCUGAGUUGAUUGUAUCGCAAUCAGUUAAAACUUUCAACAAUGGAUCUCUUGGUUCCGGCAUCGAUGAAGAACGCAGCGAAAUGCGAUAACUAGUGUGAAUUGCAGAAUUCCGUGAAUCAUCGAGUCUUUGAACGCACAUUGCGCCCCCUGGUAUUCCGGGGGGCAUGCCUGUCCGAGCGUCAUUGCUGCCCAUCAAGCACGGCUUGUGUGUUGGGUCGUCGUCCCCUCUCCGGGGGGGACGGGCCCCAAAGGCAGCGGCGGCACCGCGUCCGAUCCUCGAGCGUAUGGGGCUUUGUCACCCGCUCUGUAGGCCCGGCCGGCGCUUGCCGAACGCAAAUCAAUCUUUUUCCAGGUUGACCUCGGAUCAGGUAGGGAUACCCGCUGAACUUAAGCAUAUCAAAAGCCGGGAGGAACGUCGCUCGGACCGGGACCCCAGGUCAGUCGGGACUACCCGCUGAGUUUAAGCAUAUCAAUAAGCGGAGGAAA
rnacentral:rRNA from 1 species